AAACCAACAGGGAUUGCCCUAGUAACGGCGAGUGAAGCGGCAACAGCUCAAAUUUGAAAUCUGGCGUCUUUGGCGUCCGAGUUGUAAUUUGCAGAGGGCGCUUUGGCAUUGGCAGCGGUCCAAGUUCCUUGGAACAGGACGUCACAGAGGGUGAGAAUCCCGUACGUGGUCGCUAGCCUUUACCGUGUAAAGCCCCUUCGACGAGUCGAGUUGUUUGGGAAUGCAGCUCUAAAUGGGAGGUAAAUUUCUUCUAAAGCUAAAUACUGGCCAGAGACCGAUAGCGCACAAGUAGAGUGAUCGAAAGAUGAAAAGCACUUUGGAAAGAGAGUUAAAAAGCACGUGAAAUUGUUGAAAGGGAAGCGCUUGCAGCCAGACUUGCCUGUAGUUGCUCAUCCGGGUUUUUACCCGGUNCACUCUUCUAUAGGCAGGCCAGCAUCAGUUUGGGCGGUUGGAUAAAGGUCUCUGUCACGUACCUCCUCUCGGGGAGAACUUAUAGGGGAGACGUAAUGCAACCAGCCUGGACUGAGGUCCGCGCAUCUGCUAGAUGCUGGCGUAAUGGCUGUAAGCGGC
rnacentral:rRNA from 1 species